rnacentral:rRNA from 1 species
AGAUACCCCACUAUGCCUAAACUAACACACAAUAAAAUCACCAAUUGUUCGCCAAACAACUACGAGUAAAAACUUAAAACUUAAAAGACUUGACGGUACUUCACAACACCCUAGAGGAGCCUGUCUAAUAACCGAUACUCCACGAUUAACCCAACCCCAACUAGCCAACAGUCUAUAUACCGCCAUCGCCAGCUUACCUUGUAAAAGAAACGAAGUGAGCACAACAGUCCACCACUAAAACGAUAGGUCGAGGUGUAACUAAUGUUGGGGGUAAGAUGGGCUACAUUUUCUAAAACAGAAAACACGAAUAGACUAUGAAACUAGAAACCGAAGGCGGAUUUAGCAGUACGUUAAGAACAAUAUACCUAACCGAAACAAACGCAAUGAAGUGCGUACACACCGCCCGUCAUCCCUGUAAACUAAUUACACACUCCAUAAACAACCACAAACCAAUCAAACAGGGCAAGUCGUAA